rnacentral:rRNA from 1 species
GAUGAACGCUGGCGGCGUGCCUAAUACAUGCAAGUCGAGCGAACAGACGAGGAGCUUGCUCCUCUGACUUUAGCGGCGGACGGGUGAGUAACACGUGGAUAACCUACCUAUAAGACUGGGAUAACUUCGGGAAACCGGAGCUAAUACCGGAUAAUAUAUUGAACCGCAUGGUUCAAUAGUGAAAGACGGUUUUGCUGUCACUUAUAGAUGGAUCCGCGCCGCAUUAGCUAGUUGGUAAGGUAACGGCUUACCAAGGCAACGAUGCGUAGCCGACCUGAGAGGGUGAUCGGCCACACUGGAACUGAGACACGGUCCAGACUCCUACGGGAGGCAGCAGUAGGGAAUCUUCCGCAAUGGGCGAAAGCCUGACGGAGCAACGCCGCGUGAGUGAUGAAGGUCUUCGGAUCGUAAAACUCUGUUAUUAGGGAAGAACAAAUGUAUAAGUAACUAUGCACGUCUUGACGGUACCUAAUCAGAAAGCCACGGCUAACUACGUG